rnacentral:sRNA from 1 species
CUCUUGUAUACUUCCGUCUUGAACAGUUUACACUGAUCAAGAUGAGGGCAAAGUGGAGGAAGAAGCGCAUGAGGAGGUUGAAGCGCAAAAGGAGAAAGAUGAGGGCAAGAUCAAAGUAGAAAGCCCCCCCUUCACAUUUCAAGUAUAAAUUGGGAUUGGAAAAAGACUCUGUGUGAAAAACAUGCAACUACAACCCCCUAAAGUAGAAGAAGAAGAAGAGAGAGACAAAAGAAGAGGGGACAGCAGAACACUCACAUUUUCAUCAUCAUCAGUAAAUUCAUCAACAUCAUCAUCAUGUCUUGUGAUUGGGCAUCCAGGGAGAUGGUGAAAUUGACCGCUGGAUGUUCUCUAUAUGGGACUUUAAUGCUGUUGCUGCAUUGGCAGAUCUUUUUUUGUUCCUCGAUUUGUAUUUGGAUAAUUAAAAAAAAUUGUAAAAAGUUU